UACGGGGGGGGUAAGCGUUGUUCGGAAUUACUGGGCGUAAAGGGCUCGUAGGUGGCCAACUAAGUCAGACGUGAAAUCCCUCGGCUUAACCGGGGAACUGCGUCUGAUACUGGAUGGCUUGAGUUCGGGAGAGGGAUGCGGAAUUCCAGGUGUAGCGGUGAAAUGCGUAGAUAUCUGGAGGAACACCGGUGGCGAAGGCGGCAUCCUGGACCGACACUGACACUGAGGCGCGAAGGCCAGGGGAGCGAACGGG
rnacentral:rRNA from 1 species